GUGAGAAGUUGUAAAGCCAACGCUUGAAUUCAGGUGUUCUGACUCUUCACCUAGUAGCUGCUUUAAGAUGAUCACAAUUGGGAAAGAAAUUCAGCUGGGAGAGCUAAAAAUAUAUCAUAAAUACACAUGAUGUCAUGAUACAUCAAAGUUCAGAUCUGAAAAUGUUUCUUAGUCUGCAGAUUAAAAAAUGUUUUUGAUGAGUCAACAACAUUCAGUGCUGUGAACUGUUCUUACUCCCUCAAGCCAUAGGUACAGAGAUCAUCAUUCUGUAUUUAGUUUGGAAUGAUGCCCCAGAAUCAGAGUUCCUAAAUAGCACUAAUGAUUUCACAGAUUUCAGGAAGAAUAGGGGACAUUGACCAUGACACAUAACGAUACUCAUUAAGUUGCAGAAUAGAAUACUUGUAAUUACCAAUUAAAAAGUGGGGUGAACAAAAUCUAAAUCCAUGGACAUGUAGGGUUGGAGCAGAGUCUCCUCAGCCUUAAUGGUAGCUUUGCGUGAAUCAGAAAAUGUGCUUUUCUUCCAGGUGGACACAACCCUAACCCAGGGUACACAGGUUAGUGAGAAAAGCUCUGGCUGGAUUCAGCUUUGUUUAUUCAUCUCCUCACAUGGAUGUUCUUUGUGGCCAUCUAAGAUAGAACAACAGCCUUCAAAGUUGCCUAACUCACUUUCCCACAUUCAGGCUCCUCUACCCCAUGACUUCCACCUCUUCCCCGCUGCCCGCAAUCCACUGGCACUCUCCGUAGCAGGAAGGAGAAAUAAGUGGCUUGACAGCUUUGACGCUCUCAUGAGGCCAACACAGUACUUCAAAACCAAACACUUAGGAAUUUCUUCUCAACCAUCGUUGCUGCAGCCCCAGGGAAAAUCAAGACAGAUGUGAGUGGUCAUGGAAGCUCACAGAUCAUAAAUUUGCUUUCUACUCAUGCUGCUGGAGUGCCCUGCCGUCCUUGUGUUUUUGGCAUCUCUGUACUAUCACCUUUUCCUAAGGUCUGCUCAAUGGACAUUUACUCUACUACAUUGUAAGGGAUGACUAUAGCUUCAUAAUCCCC
rnacentral:lncRNA from 1 species